rnacentral:rRNA from 1 species
UACGUAGGGUGCGAGCGUUGUCCGGAAUUAUUGGGCGUAAAGGGCUCGUAGGCGGUUUGUCGCGUCGGGAGUGAAAACACCGGGCUUAACUCGGUGCUUGCUUUCGAUACGGGCAGACUAGAGGUAUGCAGGGGAGAACGGAAUUCCCGGUGUAGCGGUGAAAUGCGUAGAGAUCGUAAGGAAGACCAGUGGCGAAGGCGAGUUUCUGGACAGUUACUGACGCUGAGGCACGAAGGCCAGGGGAGCAAACGGG